rnacentral:rRNA from 1 species
CAGUAGCCGCGGGAAUACGAAGGGGGCUAGCGUUGCUCGGAAUUACUGGGCGUAGAGGGAGCGUAGGCGGAUAGUUUAGUCAGAGGUGAAAGCCCAGGGCUCAACCUUGGAAUUGCCUUUGAUACUGGCUAUCUUGAGUAUGGAAGAGGUAUGUGGAACUCCGAGUGUAGAGGUGAAAUUCGUAGAUAUUCGGAGGAACACCAGUGGCGAAGGCGACAUACUGGUCCAUUACUGACGCUGAGGCUCGAAAGCGUGGGGAGCAAACAGGAUUAGAUACCCCAGUAGUCCCUGUCUCUUAUAC